AAGGGCACCACAAGAACGCGUGGAGCAUGUGGCUUAAUUUGACUCAACGCGGGAAAUCUUACCGGGUCCGGACACACUGAGGAUUGACAGGUGUUUCGUUUUCAUAUGGUAUUGUAUCAAUGCGUUUUUCCUUUUUGGAGAAAUGUACAUAUGUACUAUUAUGCAAAACAUUUCAAAUAUGCUAGUCCUUUCAUGAUUGUGUGAUAGGUGGUGCAUGGCCGUUCUUAGUUCGUGGAGUGAUCUGUCUGCUUAAUUGCGUUUCACAUAUGGCUCGUACGUGUUUUAUGCUAAUACUGUGACCUCAUUGUUCUUUUACAGAGUGGUGACUGCGUCCGGUAUGGUAUACGCUGCGAUCGCCACGAAGGCAACGAACGUGACCGCAGCCUCUUGUUGCCUCCCAUGUGCAAACUGCAUUGUAUUUCUGCGUGUUGUACUUUAGGGUAUAAUAUGUGUUAUGCUUUCGGUUUUUGCCACAGUUUUUUCACUUGUAUUCAUUUCGUAUAUCUUUGGUGAUUUGCGAAGACUACUUGGAUUUAUAUUUGUGUUAUGUGGUCGCUUCAAAUGCGGCUAUGUACACUUUUGUAUUUUCCUUGUAUGUCUCUCUGUUGCUUUUGAGAUAUAUUUGUUUAUGUGUACAUCGAAAUUAUCUGCAGUGGAGGGAAACUAGAGGGACCGCUGACUCUUUAUAACCAGAGGAAGGUUGCGGCAAUAACAGGUCUGUGAUGCCCUUAGAUGUUCCGGGCUGCACACGUGCUACAAUGAUUAUUGCAGUGAGCAUCUACCCAGUUCGUGUGCACAGUUUUUCGUUACAUUAAUACUUUAAAGGGUAUAUAUUAUGCAUGUGUUGGUGGCGUCUUUCGCUAGAUGCCCUGAUAUGUGUGUGUGUUGCCUGUUAGUGUUAGCGGGCUGAUGCAUUUUUACGACUAGGCUACUUCGAAAGUAAGUAGCUAAUCAAUUCGAAGUAAUGAUUUCCUUUGCAUAUUUUAUAUAUGUCCUGUAUUUUAUGGGUGUUUUCUCUUUUCAGAGUUUACGUCUCCGUAUUAUUCAGUGGCAUGUGCUCCAUUAAUUCGUGGUGGGGACAGACCAUUGUUAAUUGUUGGUCUCGGUCUCAACUAGGAAUGCCUUGUACGGGUCUUUGGUUCAACAGACCACCCGGAAUAUGUCCCUGCCCUUUGUACACACCGCCCGUCGCUCUUACCGAUGGACUUCUCUGUGAGUUUGAGGGACUGGGAAACUCCUUUUCUAUGGAAACUUAAACGAACAGUGUGGUCUAAAGGAAAGAGAAGUCGUAACAAGGCAUCGGUAGGUGAACCU
rnacentral:rRNA from 1 species